rnacentral:rRNA from 1 species
UAAUACGAAGGUGGCAAGCGUUGUUCGGAAUCACUGGGCUUAAAGAGUAUGUAGGCGGUCUAUCAAGCGUUUUGUGAAAGCCCUCGGCUCAACCGAGGAAUUGCUUGGCGAACUGAUAGACUUGAGGCAGGUAGGGGCGUGUGGAACUCUUGGUGGAGCGGUGGAAUGCGUAGAUAUCAAGAGGAACGCCAGAGGCGAAAGCGAUGCGCUGGGCCUGUCCUGACGCAGAGAUACGAAAGCCAGGGGAGCAAACGGGAUUAGAUACCCCGGUAGUCCUGGCCCUGAACGAUGUCCACUAGGUUGGAGGUUCUCUGACGGAGUUCCGGCCGGAGCAAAAGUGUUAAGUGGACCGCCUGGGGAGUACGGUCGCAAGGCUA